UUGCUUCAGCAGCAUAUAUACUAAAAUUGGAACAAUACAGAGAAGAUAGCAUGGCCCCCGUGCAAGGAUGACACACAAAUUGAAAAGUAUUCCAUAUUUAA
rnacentral:snRNA from 1 species